CUGGUCUUGAACUCCUGACCUCAGGUGACUCCCAAAGUGCUGGGAUUACACAUGUGAGCCAACAUGCCCAGCCAAUGAGUCCUCUUAAUCCUUUUAAAUAACCAACUUUUGACUUUGAUUCCCUUUAUUGUAUAUUUGUGUUCUAUAUCAGUAAUUUGGCUUAUUUUUGGGUUUCAUGUGCUGUUUUUAAAAUUUUUGAGGUAAUUGCUUAAUUGAUUUUUAACCUUUCUUCUUUUCUAACAUAAACAUUUAAAUAUAUAUGUGUGUGUAUAUAUAUAUAUGAACAAUAGACACUAGGGACUCCAAAACGAGGGAGGAAGGGAAGGAGAGAGGGAAGCAAGUGCUGAAAAACUUUCUAUUGGGUACUAUGUUCACUAUCUGGGUGACAGGAUCAUUAGGAGCCCAAACCUCAGCAUCAUCAAUAUAUUCUUGUAACAAACCUGAACAGGUACUCUUUAAAUUUAAAAUAAAAUUAAAAGGUCUUCUAAGCAUAGUUUUAUUUGCAUCCCACAAGUUUUUUCUCUGUUUUGAUAUGUAGUAUUUUCAUGAUCAGUUCAAAAUAUUUCAAAUUUCCAUUAAGAUUCUGACAGAUGGGUUACCUGGAAAUCUAUUUCCAAAAAUAUGAGGAUUAUAAAAUUAUCUUUUUGUAAAUAAUUAGUCUUGAUUCUAUUAUGGUCAGAGAACAUAUUUCAUUUGAAGUAUUUUCAGGUUUGUUGAGACUUUUUUUCUGAGACAGGGUCUUGCUCUGUCACCCAAGCUGGAGUGCAGUAGUGCAAUUAUAGCUCACUGCAGCCUCGACCUCCUGGGCACAAGUGAUUCUCCUGCCUCAGCUUCCCAAGUAGCUGGGGCUAUAGGCACAUGCCACCAUGCCCAGUUAAUUUUUUUAUUUUUUGUAAAGGUGGGGCCUCAUUAUGUUGCCCAAGCUGGUCUCAAACUCCUGGGCUCAAGUGAUCUUCCUGACUUGGCCUCUCAAAGUGCUAGUAUUACAGAUGUGAGCCACUGUGCCUAGCCUGUUGAAACCUUUAUAGCCCAGUAUUUUGGAGUGUGUGCCAUUUGUGUUUGAAAAGUAUGUUAUUGAGUUUGGUGUCCUACAUACAUCCGUUUGGUUUGCUCAUUUCAUUGCUUAAAUCUUUUAUAACUUGAUUUUUGUAUGCUAGUUUUUCUACCAAUUAACAAAAUAGGCAUGUUAAAAUAUCACUCUGGUUGCAUAUUUGUCUAAAUUUCCUAUCAAAUUUUCUUUUACAUAUUUUGAGUUUAUAUUUUAAGUGCAUAUAAAUUUAGAUUAUCUUUCUAGUAAUUGAAUUGACCCUUUUAUUUCUUAAAAAAAUUAUUGCCUUAAAGUUUACUUAAAUAUAUCUACACCAGUUUCCUCAUGGUUACUGUUUGCUGGGUAUGUAUUUCUCCAUCUUUUUCUUCCAAAAUUUCUAAAUUCAUGUUCUAAAAAUGUCUCUUGUAAAUAGCAUAUGGUUUAAAACAAGGCUGACAAUAUUUGUCAACAUUUGAGCAUUAGUCCAUUUACAUUUAGUGUAAUAAUGGAUUUAUCACAAAUAUCUUGCUUUCUAUUUGUUCCACCUGUUCUGCUUUUUCUUCUUUCUUAGACUCUUUUGCAAUUCUUAAAUCUUCCACUGAAUUGAUUAUUCGAAUUCUCUCUUAUUAUGUGGAAAGCUAUACACUUUUAUUGAUAUCUCAAAUAUUAUCAUGCAUACAUGAGUUAUCAAAGACUAAUAUUAAAUGAAUUUUUACUCUCUUCUUGGAUGAUGCCAAGUGUCUUAGAACACUUAAAAUUCCCACAUAAAUCCUUUCAUUUUCAUACAUUUUAUUUCUCUAUAUAUUUAAAACUCCAUAAGACAUAAUUAUUGUUUUAUGUAGUCAAUAUUUAUGUGUCAUUUUCAUUGCUCUUCAAUCUUUCCUAGGGCUCUGUCCUUACGUUUGGGAUUAUUUUCCUUCUGCCUGUAAAACACCUUUUAAAUUUUCCUUUAGGGUAGGCGUGCUGAUUAAUUCUUCUAGCUGUUUCUCUAAAAAUGUCUUCAUAUCCUCUUCAUUUUUGCAGGAUAUUUUCCCUGAUUAGAAAUUUUUAGGUUGGCAGUCAUUUUCUUUCAGAACCAUAAAAGGCAGUAUUUCACUGUCUUCCAUUGUUUCUGCUGAGAAGGAGCUGUCAGUCUAAUAUUAUUGCUCCUUUAAUGGUUAUAUUCCCUCUCCCACCCCAGCAGGUCUAAAAUAUUAUUUUUCUUUGGUCUUCAACAGUUUUACUAUGAUGUUUCUAGGUGUGGGUUGUUUUUAUUUAUCCCACUUGGAGUUUGUGGGAGGGAUUCUUGAAUUUUUGGUGUGAUAUCUUUCAUGAGUUUUGGAAAAGUUCUCAGCCAUUUGUUUAAAUAUUCCUUUCUUCUACUCUUUUGAGAUGCCAACUACCCUGCAUGUCUGAGCAGGUCAGACAUGCUCACUGUACCCUUUAAGUCUCUUACCCUCUAUUCUCCAUGUUCUGUUUUUUUUACUAUAUAAUUCCUGCUCCCACCCCUCACCCUCAAUUUUUCAUCUUACUCAUUCUCUUUUCAGUUAUUUCUAAUCUGCUCUUAAACCUGUUCACUGUUCUUCUCAUUACAGUACUUUAGUUAUAGAAUUUCCAAUGCGCCUUUUACAGUUUCUAACUCUCUGUUGAAAUUCUUGACCAUGCGUCUCAUUUUUUUGAACACAGUAACCAUAGCUGUUUUAAAUUCUGCGACAACUUUAUCUGGAGUCUGUUUGGAUAUUUCUAUUGUCUGUGUUUUCCUCUAAUGGUUUUAAUUCAAGUAAUUAAUGUUGUCUGGUCUUCUCCCAUACCUGGGUAUUUCUGAUUGCAACACUGCAGAAAUAAUUUGAGGCCUUGGGUUAUGUUUACUUCCUCCACAGAAUUUGCCAUUUGCUUCAAUUGGGCACCUGAAGGCAUCAGUAAUCUGGUUUCACCUCGGACCACAUUCAGGCUCCACGAAACCCUUCUGGGUGUGAGGUACAGAGCUCAGCACGCUGCUGGUCCUUAAAAAAAGAACCACAUGAGGGCAAUAAUCACGAGAGGACUGUGGUGCUAUGUGAAGAAGAAAUGAAACUCAUCCAUGAUAAUGGAGAUGAAAAUCCUAGUUCUUAGGACGGCCUCAAACUUUAGAAAACCUCACACGGACUCAGGGAGAAGAGAGGGGCUAGGUGGGUGUGCAGAGUCCCCCAGUGGCUUGUUUUCAUUGGAAUAAUAACAUCUUACAUUUCGAUGUGGUAAUGUCGCUGUUAAAACGCACUUCUCAUUGUUAGAAAUAAAAAUGACUCAAAGAUGUGAAAGCUUUUCUCCAUUCAGUGACUUACAUGGGGGUUUUCCCAUGAAGGCCUUAGGAGAGGCUGUGAGGCAGCUUAUGCAAGGCUGCUUUCCGCAUCUCUAAGGAGGGUGGAAUGGGAAAUAAAACCAAUAAACUGUAAACUGCUCUCAGAAGAAUUCCUUCCAGCUGAAUUACAGAAACUUAGGCAAGGCUGCUACUAAGUUUAUGGGCUAGCAGUAAGUUUUCCUGCCCUCAUGGCUUUGGGGAAACUCUGAUGACUAUUCCGCUAGAAGGAGUAAUGAGUCAAAGACUGCCCUUAAAUCCUGCAAAAGAGGAUCUGGAAAAAAUACCUGGCACCCCCAUGACUAUCCUUCCCACCACCUGGUACAACCAGAAGUGAAAAUGCCUCAAGUUGAUGUUGAAACAAUAACUCAUCUCACCCUCCACAAAGGCACAGGACAUCUCUCAGCAACAGAGAUCUUUCCUCUAAUCGGAAAGUACACUCUUUGG
rnacentral:lncRNA from 10 species